UUGACUCGAAUCAAAUAGUUAUUUUCUCUCAUUUUUUUGCCUUAUCUCCAACACAUAUAUAAAUAAUUUUUCCAAAUCCAUCUCAUUACCACUCUAUGAUUUAGAACUUACAACUAAGGUUGUUCAUGGUAUGAUUUACUGAGAAGAUCGAAUCGAUUUGAACUAAACCAUAGUAAAAGUUCACACGAAUUGAAUCGAACCGUUUCAGUUUAUUAAAAACCAAACCUUAACAAGCACAAUAGCAAAAAUGAUA
rnacentral:lncRNA from 1 species